AUGAUCAAGUCCAUGGUUUAUUACGGGAACACCUCCAUCGGGGAGGUGGAGGUGUGGCCCAAGGGCGACACGAACCUGGGCGCGGCGGCGUGGGCGCGAGAGAUCCGCGUGGACCGCCUUUCCCCGCCCAGCGAGCGCUGCCUGCCGCUCGCCGUCAUGCACACCGUGGCGGUUGGAGCUCGCUGCCUCGUCAUGGAGUCCAGGCCGCCCAAGGCCGCCGACGAGCCACCACCGCCACUCGUCGCCAUGCACGCUGCUUGCCUCAGGGACAAUAAGACUGCAGUUGUUCCGUUAGGAGAGGAAGAAUUGCAUUUAGUGGCAAUGACAUCAGGGAGAAACUUGACAAACCAUGCAUGUUUCUGGGGCUAUAAAGUGCCAUUUGGUCUGUAUAAUUCUUGCUUGACCAUGUUAAAUCUCCGCUGCCUCGGUAUUGUGUUUGACCUUGAUGAGACAUUGAUUGUUGCCAAUACCACACGCUCUUUUGAGGACAGAAUUGAUUCACUUCAAAGAAAGCUGAGUAAUGAGACUGAUCCACAACGCAUGAAUGGUAUGUUAGCAGAGAUCAAGAGGUACCAAGAUGAUAGAUCUAUCCUAAAGCAGUAUAUAGAAGGUGAUCAGGUCUAUGAUGAUGGAAAAAUGUAUAAAGUGCAACCUGAGAUUGUUCCACCAUUGUCUGAUAACCAUCAAUCAUUGACACGCCCAGUUAUAAGAUUACAAGAGAAAAACAUUAUCUUGACCAGAAUAAAUCCUUUGAUAAGGGAUACAAGUGUUCUUGUUCGGUUAAGGCCAGCAUGGGAGGAUCUCCGAAGCUACUUGAUUGCAAGAGGUCGCAAGCGUUUUGAGGUCUAUGUGUGUACAAUGGCGGAGAGAGACUAUGCUUUAGAAAUGUGGAGAUUGCUUGAUCCAGACUCAAGAUUGAUUAACUCUGUUCAACUUAGUGACAGAAUGGUGUGUGUAAAAUCUGGCUUAAAAAAGUCCUUGCUAAAUGUUUUCCAUGAUGGAUCUUGCCAUCCUGGAAUGGCAUUAGUAAUUGAUGAUCGUCUGAAAGUUUGGGAUGAGAAAGACCAAUCUAGAGUUCAUGUGGUUCCUGCUUUCACCCCAUACUAUGCACCUCAAGCCGAGGCAAACUGUUCCAUCCCAGUUCUAUGUGUUGCCAGAAAUGUCGCGUGCAAUGUUAGGGGCGGCUUCUUCAAGGACUUUGAUGAAGGCCUCUUGCCAAGGAUUACGAGUGUUCUUUAUGAGGAUGAAAUACAGGAUAUCUCAUCAGCCCCAGAUGUGGGCAAUUAUUUGAUUUCAGAGGAUGAGAAUGUUGCAGUAGUGAAUGGGAACAGAGAUUCACUGGCUUUUGAUGGCAUGGCUGAUGCUGAGGUUGAGAGGAGAAUGAAGGAAGCAUCUGGCAGUGGCAGUGUUUUGAAUCCAACAAUGGCUAACAUGGUGAUGCCAGUAGCCCCUAGUCAAAGUUUUGCUCCAUCUUCAGUAGCGCCAUUUGCACCACCUCUUGGCAUGAUGCCUUUGAGUAACAAUCAAGUUCCGCCACCUGCAUUCAGCCAACCAGUCGUUCAACCAGUUGUCUUAGAUCCACUGCAAGCUUCUCCAGGUAGAGAAGAGGGCGAGGUUCCAGAGUCUGAGUUAGAUCCUGACACAAGGAGAAGGCUUCUCAUAUUACAACAUGGCCAAGACACAAGAGAUCCUACACCACCUCUUCCAGCAGUACCUCCUGCGCAAGUUUCAGUUCCUCCGGUGCAAUCUCAUGGGAAUUGGUUCCCUAUCGAGGAUGGCAUUGGCAUGAACUCAAAUAAUUUGAACAUGGGUUCAGCAGGGUUCCCUUCAGAAUCUGAUACCAUGCAUUAUGAUAAAAAACAACCACCACAGCCAUCUUACUUCCAUGGUGGCGAUAAUAAUCCAGUGCCCUCUGAUAGAUUUAGUUAUCAGAGCCAGAGGUUUCCCUCUCAGGUAACACAUACUGAGGACCACCGCAUGCUUCAGAACCAUGCACCUCCAAGAUACAGAUCCUUUCCUGGUCAGAGAAACAACUUGAUUGAGUCUGGACAAAGCUAUGCACGAAAUGUAGGUUCUGUUGGCAUACUAGAGGAGAUCGCACUGAAGUCUGGAUCUAAGGUGGAGUACAGGUCAACAUUAUGUGAUACCGCAGAACUACAGUUCUCUAUUGAGAUUUGGAUAGUGGGAGAAAAAGUGGGUGAAGGCAUUGGUAGCUCAAGGAAAGAAGCACAGCGUCAAGCUGCAGAAAUAUCUUUAAGAAAUUUGGCCAAUAAAUACCUGUUGUCUGAUCCAAAUAAGAUGACUGAUGUGAACGAAGAUGGUUUCGGUAGCAAUCCAAACUUUUUUGGAUACUCUGAAAAUACCAGGAACGAUAUAUUGUCAGUCGCAAGCACUUCAGAGGAAUCCCGAUUCACGAAAACAGGGGAGAACAAUUCCAGAAUAACAGGAGGCUCUAUUGCUGCUCUGAAGCAACUUAUGUGUGAAAGCAUACUGCAGUGCACAGUUGAGGGAUAUAACUUAGUUUUUCAAGCUCGGCCAAGUCCUCUAGAUGGUUCAGGUGGCAAGGAGACUUACGCUCAGGUAGAAGUUGGUGGGCAAACUCUUGGCAAAGGAGUUGGAAUAACAUGGGAAGAAGCUAAGCUUCAGGCGGCUGAUGAGGCUCUUGGAACUUUGAGAUCCAUGCUUGGUCAACUUGCUCAGAAACGGUCUAGUUCUCCAAGGUCUUUGGCGCCCAAUUAUAAUAAGCGCUUCAAGCCAGAUUUCCCCCGGGCAGUGCAAAGGCCUCCUUAUGGUAGAUAUUCCAGGAUUGAAGGCCAUGUUCCUUGA
rnacentral:rRNA from 1 species